rnacentral:lncRNA from 1 species
CUUGUGUUUCUAUGUUUCAUUUCGUGGGUAGAACCUUUAAUUAUGAGUGGCAUGUAGCUGUAAGUAAAAUACGUUCAUUGCACUGAUUAGACCAUUAUUCAAAACGAAAAUGGCACUCCAUUGAUUAGGCCAAAUUUCAUGGUAUUAAGGAGUAAGAAAACAAAAGGCGGUGUAAGGUUUUUGCCCCUGCACUUCGAUUUCUUUCUAAUCAUUGCUAAUGGCAUCUAAUAGUUUUUCCAAGCACCGUGCUGUGAGAAUCCCGUGAGAAUAAGGC